GUUCCUUCUAGACUGGGCCGAGCAGCCUAACAGCACUCACUACCCGGACCCUACCACCCAGCCCAUAGUACUGCUGCUUCCAGGCAUCAGCGGCAGUAGCCAGGAGCCGUACAUCUUACACCUAGUUAACCAAGCUCUGAAGGAUGGCUAUAGGGCUGUUGUAUUUAAUAACCGAGGAUGCCGAGGGGAAGAGCUGCUGGUGAGUACCCUCCUCCUUUGUGGUGGCCCUGUCCCUGUUCCCUUUAGAGACCACUGGCCCUAGGGCUCUACCUACUUACCAACCCCCUACCCUUCCUGAGCCCUUCCGCUUGGCUGUCUUCUGGCAAGAGCCUCCCUCCCUAGUCAAUGACCCGCUUUGCCCUCAGACUCACAGGGCUUACUGUGCCAGCAAUACUGAAGACCUAGAAACAGUUGUGAAGCACAUAAAACGUCGCUACUCCCAAGCUCCACUGCUGGCUGUGGGCAUCUCUUUUGGAGGGUAAUAGUUGCCUGGGUUUGUUCAUCUUGUCUUUUUCUCCUCUUCUGUCCCAGUGUUCCCAUGCCAACACUUUCCAUGGCCCUGCAUCCAAUUUUACAGGAUACUGGUGCUUAACUAUCUGGCACAGACUGGGAAGGCUGGAGGCUUGGUCGCAGGACUGACCAUUGUCUGCAUGUUGGGAUUCCUUUGAGAC
ensembl:processed_transcript Abhd1 abhydrolase domain containing 1